rnacentral:rRNA from 1 species
AACGAACGUUAGCGGCGCGCCUAACACAUGCAAGUCGCACGAGAGAGGGCUUCGGCCCCGGUAAAGUGGCGCACGGGUGAGUAACACGUGGGUAACCUUCCCUCGAGCGGGGAAUAACAUUCCGAAAGGAGUGCUAAUACCGCAUAAGACCACGGCUUCGAAAGGAGCUGAGGUAAAAGCUGGCCUCUUCAUGAAAGCUAGCACUCGAGGAUGGGCCCGCGGCCCAUCAGCUUGUUGGUAGGGUAACGGCCUCCCAAGGCUAAGACGGGUAACUGGUCUGAGAGGAUGAUCAGUCACACUGGAACUGAGACACGGUCCAGACGCCUACGGGAGGCAGCAGUGGGGAAUCUUGCGCAAUGGACGAAAGUCUGACGCAGCGACGCCGCGUGGGUGAUGAAGGCCUUCGGGUUGUAAAGCCCUGUGGGGAGAGACGAAUAAGUCUUGGCUAAUAUCCAAGAUGAUGACGGUAUCUCCUUAGCAAGCACCGGCUAACUCUGUGCCAGCCGCCGCGGUAAAAC